CGGGAGCUGGACUGGGUUGGGCCUGGUGCCGUGUCCAAGGUGCCAAUGAUGCGGGCCGACGGCGCGGGCUGCACUGUCUGUCUGUCCGUCUGUCCCGGAGAGAACUAUAAAGCGCUGGAAGCGCCUGCAGAUGGUUUUGCGCCGGCCUUUCUUUGGGCCCCAGGAGGGAGGGAGUGGGAUUGGGAGUGAAACUGUCACAGACAGGGCAGGAUGACCCCCACGGGCCUAGUGGGGAAGGUGGGGAAGGUCCCUGAGAACUGCUAUUCUCCCCCACCCCCCGCCCCCACACUGGCUUCCAUCUUACAGAGAGUAAAGUAGCUAAAGAUUGAGGCCUGGUGACAAAGCUGAAUCCCCUCGCACACUAUGCCUCCAUCUUGUCUCACCUAGCUCUUCAUUAAUGCCCAGGCUAUUUAGGGAUUAAAUGAUGAGGACAGCAAAAGUUGUACCCUUUACAAAGUAGUCUAUUGAAGUAGAACUAGCUAGUGAUGAUUGCUGCUUUUCUCUUCCUCCUCCACCUCUCCCCACUACAUAUACUGUCUAGAGUCUAGUCAGGCCUGACUAAGCCUGUGCUCACCACUCUCAGGUAGGACCUGACUGUCACACUCAGCUCCACACCCCUCCUCCAGCCCACUGGGUUGUUUCAAGGCCGUUUCAGUCACACGCCCACCCAGGAUAGCCUUGGGAAGUCCAUCCCUGCUUAAGGCAGCCUGGAAGACAGGAGCCACUCUCUGGGGUUGAAAGAAGAGAAAUAAGCUCUUUAGCCUAAGAUUCCUGUCCCAUUGCCUUCUUAGCCACGUGGCUAAGCGUCCCAUUCAGUUUCGUUGGCCCAAGGAGGCCUGGCUCCAGUAGAGCGCUGGCGUCUCUGACCCUGGUCGUCGCCCAGACCUCGAGGAUCAAGAGUCAGAACCCGGAGAGGCCCUGAAAGACUAGGCCUGGGUUCGCUGUCCGUGGUGCUGAUCGGCGCGCUCGGGCGGGGUGGGGGCUUGCAGGGGCAGGAGGUGUUGCAGACUCGGCUUCAACUAGAUUUUCUGGAUAAUUUGGGAGUAGGUUGUGAUCUCUUCUGAUGGCGAGUUACAGGAGUCUCGCCCGAAAACCCAAGGAUGCCGGCUUCCAUUUGCCCUCCUAAGCGGACAGACCGUGACUCUACCCCGGCCUCGGCCCAGCGCCCUUGCACCCGGCCUGGAGCCGGAAAUCCCUAGUCCAGAUUUGUGAAUCGAAUUCCCGGGGGGGAGGAGGGGGAGAGCUGGCGGAAGGGAAGGCGGGAGCAGCCGCCCAUUGGCUGGAAUUUGGCGCAGUCAGCGCGGUGCCGUCAUCUUUCUGGGUUUGGGAGGAGGGAGGGAGGAGCACUUGGGUCACCCCGCGGCUGUCGCCAUAGCAACCAGACUGAGCGGGCGGGGCCACCUUUCCACUCUCCCCACUCUAGCGGAGGAAACAAUCCUUAUCUGCCUUAUUUGGAACUAGUUAGCAAGAUUACUUAAUUGGAACUUCUGCGUUAAAAGUCUGAAGUGGGAGGGAAAGAGAGACUACCGAGACCCCCAAACAUCCUGCUCUUGGAGAGAUCACUAGGUACUGCCUCUGAACCCAUAGGCACAGCAUCCUCCCUUUACUACACACACACACACACACACACACACACACACACACCUCCUGGAACCUGUGGUCUGGCACUUGGAGACAGAAUGUAAAAAAGCCUCAGCGCGUGGUGUCAAAUUAAAUCUCACUUUCCUUGCCUUGCCCCAAGGCAUGAGACACUGCCAUAAUCCGAUUAGGGGGUAAGCAACUGGAGGAGGAUCAGCAUGAAUACAUGGAAGAAUUAGCCUCCUGGGUCAAACCUGGUCAGACUCCUGUUUUCUAAGGGAGGGGUGGUCACAUGGAGAAAAGCGCAGUCUUUUGAGAAGGCAAGGUGAGAACGGAGAAAGUGCAGAAACAGAGUAAAGUGCCUUCUCUUUACUGACCAGAAGUGAACCUCAGGAAAGUGCUUCCAGGCUGAGAAGGGAAGUGGUGAAGAGGGCUCAGAGCUCUACAGAGAGCCCAGCCUGGGUGAGGAGUGGACUGAGGAAAGAAUGGAGAUGGAGAAUAGGAGACAGAAACCCAGCUAGAGCCAUGACUCAGCACUUCCCCUGGCAAAUGGGUGACUCUCCCAGCGCAGGAGCAGCAGAGAGAGGAGGGGAGCAGGAAAGCAAAUGUAUGGAUAAACAGUGAUUUGACCAUUUGUUGCAUGGAUAUACAACCAAAGGCACACAUUUUAACCCAGAAAGCAGGUAUAUAUGCAUUUAUACUGAUGAAGGCUCCUUCAGACGUAACAAGUACACAUCUCCACUGCCUACUUCCGGGCCCCUCUUCCUGGAGCAGAGGACAUUUUGUCCUGACAGCUAUGCUUGCCUGUCCCUGGAAUACCUUGGUACUUAAUGGGAAAGAAGAAAUGCAAAAAAAAAAAAAAAAAAAAA
rnacentral:lncRNA from 1 species